UGAGGGGGGCUGCUCCUAGUACGAGAGGACCGGAGUGGACGCAUCACUGGUGUUCGGGUUGUCAUGCCAAUGGCACUGCCCGGUAGCUAAAUGCGGAAGAGAUAAGUGCUGAAAGCAUCUAAGCACGAAACUUGCCCCGAGAUGAGUUCUCCCUGAGACUUUAAGUCUCCUGAAGGAACGUUGAAGACGACGACGUUGAUAGGCCGGGUGUGUAAGCGCAGCGAUGCGUUGAGCUAACCGGUACUAAUGAACCGUGAGGCUUAACCUU
rnacentral:rRNA from 3 species